UCUGGUAGCUCAGUGGUAGAGUGCUUGCCAAGCAUGUACUAAGGCCCUGGGUUCAAUCCCAAGUACCAUAA
rnacentral:tRNA from 1 species